rnacentral:rRNA from 1 species
UACGUAGGGCGCAAGCGUUGUCCGGAAUUAUUGGGCGUAAAGAGCUCGUAGGCGGUUUGUCGCGUCUGUCGUGAAAGCUUGGGGCUUAACCCCAAGUCUGCGGUGGAUACGGGCAGACUAGAGGCAGGUAGGGGAGAACGGAAUUCCCGGUGUAGCGGUGAAAUGCGCAGAUAUCGGGAGGAACACCGGUGGCGAAGGCGGCAUUCUGGACCGAAACUGACGCUGAGGCGCGAAAGCCAGGGGAGCAAACGGG